rnacentral:lncRNA from 1 species
AAGAUAUUUGUCAUCAGCACAUCUGAUCUUUGUCCUCUUUCAGAGUCAAAGUCAACCAGCCAUUUCUUGUUUCCAGUAAGAUGAUUUGAACAGCCAGUGUCCAUAUACCACCAGUCUAUCAGAUCCAUAUCAUCAGAUUCAGAGGCCAUCAAUAGCACAGAUUCGUCAUCAGAACUUCUGGCUAUAUUUGCUUCUUCUGAUUUUCUCUCCUUGUUUGACCAACAGUCUCUAGCAAAAUGACCAAACUUCUUACAGCAGUAACAUGGAUUUUCUUCUUGUCAUACUUCUCUUU